UCCCUGGUGGUCCAGUGGCUAAGACUCUUGGCUUCCAAUGCAGGAGGCCCAGGUUCGAUCCCUGGUCAGGGAA
rfam:TPA: Bos taurus chromosome X, whole genome shotgun sequence.